AGAGUUUGAUCCUGGCUCAGAUUGAACGCUGGCGGCAGGCUUAACACAUGCAAGUCGAGCGGAAACGAUGGUAGCUUGCUACCAGGCGUCGAGCGGCGGACGGGUGAGUAAUACUUAGGAAUCUACCUAGUAGUGGGGGAUAGCACGGGGAAACUCGUAUUAAUACCGCAUACGACCUACGGGAGAAAGGGGGCAGUUUACUGCUCUCGCUAUUAGAUGAGCCUAAGUCGGAUUAGCUAGAUGGUGGGGUAAAGGCCUACCAUGGCGACGAUCUGUAGCUGGUCUGAGAGGAUGAUCAGCCACACCGGGACUGAGACACGGCCCGGACUCCUACGGGAGGCAGCAGUGGGGAAUAUUGGACAAUGGGGGAAACCCUGAUCCAGCCAUGCCGCGUGUGUGAAGAAGGCCUUUUGGUUGUAAAGCACUUUAAGCAGUGAAGAAGACUCUUCGGUUAAUACCCGGAGACGAUGACAUUAGCUGCAGAAUAAGCACCGGCUAACUCUGUGCCAGCAGCCGCGGUAAUAACAGAGGGUGCAAGCGUUAAUCGGAAUUACUGGGCGUAAAGCGAGCGUAAGU
rnacentral:rRNA from 1 species